UACUAAUUAACGAGUGUGUUCAACAAUUAAUCAAAAUCAAUUGAUGAAAUGAAAGUUUUCAAAUGAUUACGAAUGUUAAAUCAUUAACAUCGCCCGUGAACAUCAACAACAAUUUAAUCAUAUUUCUGUGGUUUUCCAGUGAUUAAGGGCAGAUAAAAGCAACAAGCGAUGUCAAUCUCAUCUUCACCCACCCUGACCCACUCUAUCUCUCCACCUCUGACCCGCUCUCCAUCAUUUCCCACUCUCCUCUCAGAGGAAAAUCUGAUGUGUGACAAUAUAUAUUUUUCUUGAUUCUCAAAAAAAUAGUCUUUGAAGUUUACACCUUAAACUUGCGCAAUUCACAUAACAAAGAUGAUAAACUAACUGUAAAUAUUUUGAAUCAGUUGACAUUUCAUCUUUGUCUCAAUCUAAUUCAAUGUUAUCCAUUUUGGAAUCAGAUUCUGCAAUCACAAUUAACCAAUUAUCUCAUCUUCCAAUAAUCAAUCACAAUCAAAACUAAUUUUUUCAUUUAAUUUCUUUCUCUCUCGCUGUCAACUUGGAAACAAUUUAAUAUUAGAUUUGAAAAUGUUACAGUUUUUUGUCAAUCACAAUUAAUUUUCAUAAUCAUUGUAAAGUUUAAUUUGGUUAAUUAGUAAGUUAAUCAUCUGAUUGGAAAUAUUUUUAUUACAAUUAACAUUUUCGUUUUGUUAAUCAUUUGAUAACAUUGAUUUAAUUGUGGACAAAGAUGUUGUGGAAAUACAAUCAAUUAACCUUAAUGAUUUAAUUAGAUCUUCCAAUUUAAAUUGCUCUGAGUUUUUCAUCUGAUUAACUGUUGAUUUAAACAAUGAUUGUUUAUUGUUUGAUUGUGUGUUAUUUGAUUUUUUCACACCUUAAAUUUAAUUUGAACCAAUCAAAUUUUAUAUAUAUCAUGAUAAUGAUAAUGGUUAAUUAGUUAAUGAAAUGAUUACCUGAUUACCUUGUGAAACUCAGCGUCUGAUUAAUUGUGUUGUAAAGGAUAAUCGUGCCUGAUGAAAUUACAAUUUGGACAAUUUAAUCACAAUUUAACCCUGACGGCAAUCAAUUGAUUAACCAAUUAUUAUACAUAAAACUUUGUUGGACCCAAUUACAAUCAAUUUCUCAGAGGGAACAACAAUUAACAAUUAAAAUACACAAGAAACAAACUCAACAUGAAUCAAGGAAUCGACAAAUUAAUUGAUCAUAAACAACAACAUCUAUCAUGAAAUCGUAACAAUUUAACCAUAAAUUGAUUGGAAAAUUAACUUUUUUUUCUCGUUGAUCAACAAUCAACCUCCCACUCGACAAGCGAUUAAUUUGCAUCAAUUUUAAUUGUUCUCGUUUUUACAACACAAUUGAUGAUUUAAACUCUCUCCACUCAAAUUUUGAUUUAAUCUAAAUUAACCCAAAUAUUUACUAACAAUUAACACAACCAACACAUACACACACACACGAUUAAUAACAAUUAACUUAACAAUUCUCCAACUAUAGCAAUAUGAUUGGAAUAGGCAAUCGUAUAAAUAUAUAUAAAUAUAAAUAUUAUAUAUAUAAUGAUGAAUAAUUAAGCUACAAUUAAAUAGCUUGUUAAACAACUAUAAUUAAAUUAAUUGGAUUACUUUAAGAAAAGAUGCCUUAAACAACUAAAUAACAACUCUUCAAACAACCACAUUGAUUGUGCUCUUUUUUUUGCAAACAUAUAUAAUAAAUAAAUUCAGUUUUUAAACAACUAAA